CAAUACGGAGUGGCAGACGGGUGAGUAACACGUGGGAACAUACCCUUCGGUUCGGGAUAACUCAGGGAAACUUGAGCUAAUACCGGAUACGUCCGCGAGGAGAAAGAUUCAUCGCCGGAGGAUUGGCCCGCGUCUGAUUAGCUUGUUGGUGAGGUAAUGGCUCACCAAGGCGGUGAUCGGUAGCCGGCCUGAGAGGGCACACGGCCACACUGGCACUGAAACACGGGCCAG
rnacentral:rRNA from 1 species